rnacentral:rRNA from 1 species
AGAUUGAACGCUGGCGGCAGGCCUAACACAUGCAAGUCGAGCGGCAGCACGGGUACUUGUACCUGGUGGCGAGCGGCGGACGGGUGAGUAAUGCCUAGGAAUCUGCCUGGUAGUGGGGGAUAACGCUCGGAAACGGACGCUAAUACCGCAUACGUCCUACGGGAGAAAGCAGGGGACCUUCGGGCCUUGCGCUAUCAGAUGAGCCUAGGUCGGAUUAGCUAGUUGGUGAGGUAAUGGCUCACCAAGGCGACGAUCCGUAACUGGUCUGAGAGGAUGAUCAGUCACACUGGAACUGAGACACGGUCCAGACUCCGUACGGGAGGCAGCAGUGGGAAUAUUGGACAAGUGGGCGAAAGCCUGAUCCAGCCAUGCCGCGUGUGUGAAGAGUCUUGGAUUGUAAGCAUUUAGUGGAGGAAGGCAGUUACUAAUACGUAUCUGUUUAGACGUUACCGA